rnacentral:snRNA from 1 species
AGAUUCUGGAAAAUUCUAGGAACAUGUUCUAUGACCUUCUCCCCCCGCCCCCAGGAGAGGACCGGUCUUCGGUCAAGGGUAUACGAGUAGCUGUGCUCCCCUGCUAGAACCUCCAAACAAGCUCUCAAGAUUGCUGAGAGGUGUGCUCCCUAAAUCUUCCAAGGAGAAUGGCAAGUCGGGCCUUUCUGUUU